GGCCCGGAAGCACAUGGUGUGCACCUGCAUUUCUUUACGUCGAGGAGAGGGAUAAAGUGUACUGCAGGAGGCGCUCGUUCGACCCGAGCCCGGGCCA